GAUGAACGCUGGCGGCGUGCCUAAUACAUGCAAGUCGAGCGAACAGACGAGGAGCUUGCUCCUCUGACGUUAGCGGCGGACGGGUGAGUAACACGUGGAUAACCUACCUAUAAGACUGGGAUAACUUCGGGACACCGGAGCUAAUACCGGAUAAUAUAUUGAACCGCAUGGUUCAAUAGUGAAAGACGGUUUUGCUGUCACUUAUAGAUGGAUCCGCGCCGCAUUAGCUAGUUGGUAAGGUAACGGCUUACCAAGGCAACGAUGCGUAGCCGACCUGAGAGGGUGAUCGGCGACACGGGAACGGAGACACGGUCCAGACUCCUACGGGAGGCAGCAGUAGGGAAUGUUCCGCAAUGGGCGAAAGCUUGACGGAGCAACGCCGCGUGAGUGAUGAAGGUCUUCGGAUCGUAAAACUCUGUUAUUAGGGAAGAACAAAUGUGUAAGUAACUAUGCACGUCUUGACGGUACCUAAUCAGAAAGCCACGGCUAACUACGUG
rnacentral:rRNA from 1 species